rnacentral:rRNA from 1 species
GCAAAGCAAGUGGCGAACGGGUGAGUAACGCGUAGACAAUCUGCCCUGGAGACCGGGACAACCACUCGAAAGGANGGCNAAUACCAAAUACCNUACCGGGNCCGCANGGUUNNNANAAUAAAGGGGGCCUUCGGGCNCUCGCCUCAGGAUGAGUCUGCGUCCUANUAGCNUGUUGGUGAGGUAACAGCUCACCAAGGCAAUGAUGGGUAGCCGGCCUGAGAGGGUGAUCGGCCACACUGGGACUGAGAUACGGCCCAGACUCCUACGGGAGGCAGUAGUAGGGAAUCUUGCGCAAUGGGCGAAAGCCUGACGCAGCGACACCGUGUGAAGGAUGAAGGUCUUAGGAUCGUAAACUUCUGUCAAUUGGGGACGAAGGUGGUAGAGUUAAUACCUCGAAUACUGACGGUACCUAAUAAGGAAGUCUCGGCUAACUCCGUGCCAGCAGCCGCGGUAAUACGGAGGAGGCAAGCGUUGUCCGGAAUCAUUGGGCGUAAAGAGCGCGUAGGCUGUUUUCCAAGUCAUGUGUGAAAACCUCAGGCUUAACUUGAGGACUGCAUGUGAAACUGGAAAACUUGAGUGCAGUAGGGGAAAGUGGAAUUCCUGGUGUAGCGGUGAAAUGUGCAAAUAUCAGGAAGAACACCGGUAGCGAAGGCGGCUUUCUGGGCUGCAACUGACGCUGAGGCGCGAAAGCUAGGGGAGCAAACAGGAUUAGAUACCCUGGUAGUCCUAGCUGUAAACGAUGGACACUAGGUGUGGGGAGUUAUCGGCGCUUUCCGUGCCGAAGUUAACGCAUUAAGUGUCCCGCCUGGGGAGUACGGUCGCAAGACUAAAACUCAAAGGAAUUGACGGGGGCCCGCACAAGCGGCGGAGCAUGUGGCUUAAUUCGACGCAACGCGAAGAACCUUACCAAGGCUUGACAUCAUAUUGACAGUUAUAGAAAUAUAACCUCUCUUCGGAGCAAUAUGACAGGUGGUGCAUGGCUGUCGUCAGCCUCGUGUCGUGAGAUGUUGGGUUAAGUCCCGCAACGAGCGCAACCCUUGUCCCAUGUUGCUAACAGUUCGGCUGAGCACUCUUGGGAUACUGCCGGCGUAAAGCUGGAGGAAGGUGGGGACGACGUCAAGUCAUCAUGCCCUUUAUGUCUUGGGCCGCACACGUGCUACAAUGGAUCAUACAAAGAGCAGCGAUACCGCGAGGUGGAGCAAUCUCUUAAAUGGUUCAAGUCCGGAUUGAAGCUGAAUUCGCCUUCA